GCAAACUCAAGGCAAGAAAAGGUUUACUGGUAAAAAGGAUGACAGAAUGUGUUCCUAUUGCAACUCUAGUGGACAUAAUAGAGAAACCUGCUUUAAACUCAAUGGAUAUCCUGACUGGUUUCAUGAGUAUAAACAGAAGAAGAAUAAGGGAAAAAGGAAUGUUGCAGCUACUAUUCAAUCUGCAGAGACUCCUUUAGACAAAGAGUCUGACAAACUGAUUCAUCUUAAUGACUGGAAUGCA
rnacentral:misc_RNA from 1 species